AAGUCGUAACAAGGUUUCCGUAGGUGAACCUGCGGAAGGAUCAUUAUUGAAUGAAUGUAGAGUUGGUUGUCGCUGGCCCUCUUGGGCAUGUGCACGCCUUCUCUUUCAUCCACACACACCCCUGUGCACUUGUGAGACGGAGGACUUUAAUUAGUCUUCCGUCUACUUAAUCACACAAACUCAUUUAAUUAAAUUGAAUGUAAUUGAUGUAACGCAUCAUUAAAACUAAGUUUCAACAACGGAUCUCUUGGCUCUC
rnacentral:misc_RNA from 1 species